CUUGUGAAAAUUUCGCGCGCUCGAACUGACAAAUCCUCCGUUGUGGUAAAAUUUCUUCUGUCGGUGAUGUUGGACGGUUUUCAAAAACAAUCGAAACAAAAGCCUAGCCGACAGAGCAAAGACAGUUAGUUUGCUUGGAACUUCGCUUCGGAAGUCCAACCGGCGAAUUCCAGAUUAGUGCCGCGAAGUCAAUAAUCCUGAUAUCAAGUGAAGCGAGGUCGGAGUGAAAAUGACCAAGUCCUGGUUUUGAUCGAACAACCACAAGAAAAAAAAUAUAAACAUUUAACUGGGAAGGCUACUGGCUCGGUCAAACUACAUCCUCCAUGACUGUCAUCAAUCCCCCAGAGAUUUAUAGCAUCCGGGGAUCCAUUCCAGAGCAGCGAAAAUUUCAACACAAGUAUCAUUUUUUUUUACUUGUUAUCAUGUAUUAUUCAUAUAGUUAUGUAAGAGAUCAUGAAUAAAUGUUAUGCUCUUUGUAUA